CCCUCUCGCCGGGAGAGCCGCACACAUAAAAGUGCGCGCGCAGUGCUCCUCUCUCGUUCUCUCCUCUGGCCAUCCGCCCACUCGAUAUUCGUCGGUGUCCCGGCCACGUGAUUCCCCUCUCGGGCCUCUCUCAUCUCCUUGGCCCGGCAUAGGGUUUCACGGGAGGAAGAACGGAUGGAGGGAAGGAGGGCGGAAAAAGACGGAGCAAGAGUCUUCGGCGAAGUGCGAUUACCGCAGACUCGCAGAAUCCUUCGGCUUUUCUUCCCCUCUCUCCGCGUCGCCACCUUUCGCUCUUCGCUUCCCCCGCGUCUUCUUUCUUCUCUCUUCUUUUUUUUUCACUUCCUUCCGAUGCGAAGCUACCGUCGGGAUGUUCCUACGUGCACGUCUCUCGUACCGAGGGACGAAAGACGUGGGUAUUGAUCAGAGCCCGCCGCGGCUGCGGAAGUAGCCGACAUUAUUUCACGGGGAACCGGCUGUCUCCUCGUGUUCGCUCGCUGUUUAACGCUCAUCCGUUCGCUUUUAUUAAUUAGACGGCCAAACAAUCUUCCAUUUUAUAUGUUUUACGAUAUUGAGAAACUUGCUGAACGCGAGGGGGAUGGUCUAUUGAAGGACUAAACAGGCUGCUCUUGUGCUAACAUGUAUCGUGAAAUGGACAGGACUUUCGAGGGACUUCCCACGCAUCUGAAAAUUCAGUUUGACAUCAUCCGUCAUCCAGAAAACGCUUGAAUGCAGCCGAGCGGUCGAGGGCAAUCGAGGAAUGAACCGUGGUGAUCGCCGAGUAGCUAUCAACGGAUUUGCGGUAUCCUAAUCGGCAAGGGUAGCUAAUCGAGGCGUUCCAUCGAGAAACCGUCGGGACACGGGGAUUACUCGCUUAUGCGUGUUAAGCUCUCAACGAGCUGUUACACCGUAAAGCUCCAUUAGGGUCUCGAAAACAUCUCCGCGAGAUGCGCGGCCUAUUGCGGCGAUCGACGGGCUCUCCCUCAAGGACAAUUUUCACGUCUGUCAAGAAUGGCGCGAGCCCAGGCGGCAAAAAGUGAGGACGAUCGACUGCUACAGCCGAGGGCUGCUGUAGCAAGCUGUUUUCCCGACCGAUGGCGGACAGAUGACGGUGGGAGCCGGAGAGGAGCUUAACAAAUGGUCAUUCGGUCGUUGCCACGAAACGCACCUACUUGAGAUGCGGAGGAUCUAUGGCUCCCAUUUCUCACCGGGCGCUUUGCGGCCGGAACAAUACCCUAAGCGGGGCCGCGCGUAAGAACUGUUGGGACACCCGAGAAGGACUCCCUGAGCAGGUUGAUCACCGUCACGUGGCUUCCGGGGAAUCUUACCGAAAUACUACGGCGAAACACAAGAGAGGACUUGGUGAAGCAAUGUAGUGUAAUAACGAAGAAAAUCUACGUCCUAGGGAAACCGUGUAGCUCAUAUUGUUUUAUAUACUAAAUGAGAUGAAUGCGUACUGAUCUUUUAAUAAAUGACUAUUAUAUUUAAAUAUUAUGUCUCGUGGAGACAGGUAUUUUUUUUAAAUAGCUGAAUGAAUAUAGCGUUACAGGCUGAAAACAUGAUUUCUUGAGACAAUACUGUCAUAACCGCGACGAGCAAUUCUGUUAGACUUCUCAUCAAUUUAUUUGAUUAUUCCUUUUUUCCUUUUCUUGGUUAUAUAUGUAUUAUGGACCAAAUAAAGCAAGAGUGAUGUUGCUAGAGAAACGAUGAGAGCUUAGUAUGGAAGUGAAUUUAUAGACACUGGGUUAUGCGGCGCAAGCUGUCAAACGAUCA